rnacentral:snoRNA from 1 species
GCGACGUCCUUGGUCAUUUACGUGCUGUACUGUAGCUGAUCUUUUGGGUGAAGUGGCGGCGCAGUGCGUAAAUGUUCCUAAAAGGCGGUCUUGCUGUGAUGCUCAAUGCACAGUUAUAUAACCGCAACGUCGCAGAUCAAAUUGCCCUUCGGGUGGCGAUGUGUGAUAUAUUCCACUAACUGUUUAUAGUCACUUAGACCAUUAACACACAGUUAAACCAUAUCACAGACAUUC